CCCGCGGGCGUCCGCCCGCGGGGCCCUGACACCGGUACCUGAUACGGCCGGUGCAG
rfam:Streptomyces thermolilacinus SPC6 TNC:Contig_1, whole genome shotgun sequence.